ensembl:lncRNA
GCUACAGAUAACACAACAAUACAUGUAUUGUUUAAUUAAUAAAACAUCCGAAAGUGAUAAAACACAUUAGAAAUAGCAAUAGCUUCAUAACAGACCAAUAAAUCAACACAUUUUCAUCAGCAGAUGUUUGCAUGUUCAGUAAAAAUAUUUCAACAACAAGUUUAUGAUUAAAAUGAUCAAUGAACUUUAGCAUUACGCUAUGUAAUGUACAUUUCAUGUUGUACUCAUGGUCCUUUGUUAGUCCAGUUUAGGACAAUGUCUCUGACGUAUGUUUCAUAUCAAAUACAGGGAGUGCAGAAUUAUUAGGCAAAUGAGUAUUUUGUCCACAUCAUCCUCUUCAUGCAUGUUGUCUUACUCCAAGCUGUAUAGGCUCGAAAGCCUACUACCAAUUAAGCAAUAUUAGGUGAUGUGCAUCUCUGUAAUGAGAAGGGGUGUGGUCUAAUGACAUCAACACCCUAUAUCAGGUGUGCAUAAUUAUUAGGCAACGUCCUUUCCUUUGGCAAAAUGGGUCAAAAGAAGGACUUGACAGGCUCAGAAAAGUCAAAAAUAGUGAGAUAUCUUGCAGAGGGAUGCAGCAGUCUCAAAAUUGCAAAGCUUCUGAAGCGUGAUCAUCGAACAAUCAAGCGUUUCAUUCAAAAUAGUCAACAGGGUCGCAAGAAGCGUGUGGAAAAACCAAGGCGCAAAAUAACUGCCCAUGAACUGAGAAAAGUCAAGCGUGCAGCUGCCAAGAUGCCACUUGCCACCAGUUUGGCCAUAUUUCAGAGCUGAAACAUCACUGGAGUGCCCAAAAGCACAAGGUGUGCAAUACUCAGAGAGAUGGCCAAGGUAAGAAAGGCUGACAAAUCCCAUAAAAUCGCAGCUUUGGCAUAUGCAGAUGACGUGUCGGUGAUAAUUAGAAAUCAAAACGAACUGUCUUCAGUUAUGGAGAUACUACACCACUACGAACAGGCAUCAGGUGCUAAGCUUAACCAAGAAAAAACUGAAGGGGUGUGGCUUGGACUUCAGACCAGACAACCUAAAAUGAUGAUCUCUCUAUGUAGGGAGAUUAAAAUUUUGGGUAUAUGGAUUGAUAAUACUGACUCUAGUUUAUUAAAUUGGAAUAAGAAAGAAAAUGAAAUUAAAAUGGAAAUUAUGAAAUGGGAGAACAAAGAUACAAAUUAUAAAACACGUAUUAAUAUUGUAAAAACACACAUAAUUUCCAAACUCCUGUUCCUUGCCGCAAUUUUUCCUCCCCCGAGAACAACUGUAAUGAAAAUAACUAAGAUGUGCAUUAAAUUUAUCUGGGGAUCCAAUCGAGAAGUGACUAAGAGAAAAUUUAUGUACAAGAAUAGGAAGUACGGGGGCUUGGGAGCCCCAGACUUAGAGAUUGUCUUGCGAAUCCCUUUUAUAAAAAUUACUCAAAGUGCAAUUUCUCGGGGUGCCCCGUGGGUUCGAGGGAAAGAGGAAUUGUGGCAAAAGAAAAGAGGCAGGGCCAGAGCGGGCGUUCCAUACCACAGACUUAUGUUUGGUGAUUUAUCUAGUCAAUGGGAACAAUAUGGUUUAAAUAUUCUCCAAGAGAACACGAAAAAUAUUUAUAAAAAGAUUAAUGAAUCCAAAAACGAAGGUGUAAUCCAAUAUAAGUAUGCAAAUCAAGAUGAAAAUCCUUUAAUAGUUAAAAAUGUACAAGACCAACUAUUAUCCGAAAGCAUGAGAGACGUGGUAUGGCUCAUCUCGCUCGGGCGCCUCCCUGUGAGGGCGGUGGUACAGUGGAGUUGUUUCGUUACCACCAUGAAAUGUCCUAUGACAGGCUGUGAUGAAGAUGAGACCCUAGAACAUCUUCUAUUGGAUUGUUAUAGGACAACUGAGAUCAGGCAGAAGAUGACAGAGAUUGGCUAUGAUGUGGAUGUCAAUAUUAAAGCAGUUAAAUAUGGUUUGUUUAAAGAAAAAAUGUGUGACGACAAAAGGAGACUCUUUUGGUUAGUAAUGUGUGUAAUAAACACACAUAUUUGGAAAACCCGUGCCAAAGGAGUGUUUGAACAAAAAAUGAUAAGUAGUGAUGUGGUGAGUAAACAUAUCAUUGCAGAUCUGCGUAGAAGACGAACAAUGGACCUGAAACUUGGGAAAGUUUUCCCCUGGAACGUAUUGAAAUUGUAAGUUUUAAAAGUGGUUUGUGGACUCAGAUGCUCGAUUUUCCUCCUUGUUUGACUUUUUCUUUGGUGAGUGGUGUGUGAUUACAGUUUUGCAUAUGUAAUUGUAUGUGUGUGUAAAUUUUAUAUGUAAUUUUGUAUACUUUAAAGUGUUUAAAAAAAAAAAAAAAAAGUAAGAAAGGCUGAAAGACGACCACCACUGAACAAGACACACAAGCUGAAACGUCAAGACUGGGCCAAGAAAUAUCUCAAGACUGGUUUUUCUAAGGUUUUAUGGACUGAUGAAAUGAGAGUGAGUCUUGAUGGGCCAGAUGGAUGGGCCCGUGGCUGGAUUGGUAAAGGGCAGAGAGCUCCAGUCCGACUCAGACGCCAGCAAGGUGGAGGUGGAGUACUGGUUUGGGCUGGUAUCAUCAAAGAUGAGCUUGUGGGGCCUUUUCGGGUUGAGGAUGGAGUCCAGCUCAACUCCCAGUCCUACUGCCAGUUUCUGGAAGACACCUUCUUCAAGCAGUGGUACAGGAAGAAGUCUGCAUCCUUCAAGAAAAACAUGAUUUUCAUGCAGGACAAUGCUCCAUCACACGCGUCCAAG